rnacentral:rRNA from 1 species
GACGAACGCUGGCGGCGUGCUUAACACAUGCAAGUCGAACAGAAAGGCCCUGCUUUUGUGGGGUGCUCGAGUGGCGAACGGGUGAGUAACACGUGAGUAACCUGCCCUUGACUUUGGGAUAACUUCAGGAAGCUGGGGCUAAUACCGGAUAGGAGCUCCUGCUGCAUGGUGGGGGUUGGAAAGUUUCGGCGGUUGGGGAUGGACUCGCGGCUUAUCAGCUUGUUGGUGGGGUAGUGGCUUACCAAGGCUUUGACGGGUAGCCGGCCUGAGAGGGUGACCGGCCACAUUGGGACUGAGAUACGGCCCAGACUCCUACGGGAGGCAGCAGUGGGGAAUAUUGCACAAUGGGCGGAAGCCUGAUGCAGCAACGCCGCGUGCGGGAUGACGGCCUUCGGGUUGUAAACCGCUUUCGCCUGUGACGAAGCGUGAGUGACGGUAAUGGGUAAAGAAGCACCGGCUAACUACGUG